UGCCGGAAUAGCUCAGUUGGUAGAGCAGAGGACUGAAAAUCCUCGUGUCAAGUUUUCAAUAU
rnacentral:tRNA from 1 species